rnacentral:RNase_P_RNA from 1 species
AAAGUAGACGAGGUGGUCGUCGGUUCUAACUAUUCAUGAGGAUAGUCGGAAUGGGAGGAAAGUCCGAGCUCCAUAGGACACAGUGCUCCAUAACGCGGAGUCCCGGUGACGGGAAGGAAAGUGCAACAGAAAAUAUACCGUCCUGCUUUUCGUGGGAUAAGGGUGAAAUGGUGGGAUCGUUUAUCGAUUUAAUGUAAGAGCCCACCGCUCUGAUGGCGACGUCAGAGGCAUGGCAAACCCCGCUGGGAGAAAGGCUAAAUAGGGAGGGAUGAAGUGGUCCGCUUCGUUACGGUACCUCCGGGUAAGCCGUUAGAUCUCGCUGGUAACAGUGAGACUAGACAAAUGACCAUCCAAGACAGAACUCGGCUUAUUGUCUACUUAAAUG